GACGAACGCUGGCGGCGUGCCUAAUACAUGCAAGUAGAACGCAGUUGCGAACGGGUGAGUAACGCUUAGGUAACUGCCUCAUAGCGGGGGAUAAAUAUUGGAAACGAUAGCUAAUACCGCAUACUGUGAGCUGGACCUGCGUUGUAUUAGGUAGUUGGUGAGGUAAAGGCUCACCAAGGCGACGAUACAUAGCCGACCUGAGCGGGUGUUCGGGCCAACUGGGACUUGUGCACCGCCCAGACUCCUUCGGGCGGCAGCAGUUGGGGAACUUCGGAAAUUGACGGAAGUCUGACCGCGCAACGCCCCGUGAGUGAAGAAGGGUUUCGGAUCGUAAAGCUCUGUUCUUAGAGAAGCGGUACCUAACCAGAAAGGGACGGCUAACUACGUGCCAGCAGCCGCGGUAAUAC
rnacentral:rRNA from 1 species